CCUACGGGAGGCAGCAGUGGGGAAUUUUGCGCAAUGGGCGAAAGCCUGACGCAGCAACGCCGCGUGCGGGAUGAAGGCCUUCGGGUUGUAAACCGCUUUCAGCAGGGAUGAAAUUGACAGUACCUGCAGAAGAAGCCCCGGCUAACUACGUGCCAGCAGCCGCGGUAAUACGUAGGGGGCAAGCGUUAUCCGGAUUCAUUGGGCGUAAAGAGCGCGUAGGCGGAUUGUUAAGCGCGAUGUGAAAACUGGGGGCUCAACCCGCAGCCUGCAUCGCGAACUGGCAGUCUUGAGUCUGGUAGAGGAGUGUGGAAUUCCCAGUGUAGCGGUGAAAUGCGCAGAUAUUGGGAGGAACACCGGUGGCGAAGGCGGCACUCUGGGCCACGACUGACGCUGAGGCGCGAAAGCUAGGGGAGCGAACAGGAUUAGAUACCCUGGUAGUCCUAGCCGUAAACGAUGGGCACUAGGUGUGGGGGGUAUAACUCCUCCGUGCCGCNGCUACGACAUAGUGCCGCCGUCGGGAGGUACGGCCGCGACGGACGAAACGUACGAAAGGAAGUAGUUACGGCGUGAGACGUGCCGACGGCGACGACGAGGGAGGAGG
rnacentral:rRNA from 1 species